rnacentral:snRNA from 1 species
CAGCAGCACAUAUACUAAAAUUGGAACGAUACAGAGAAGAUUAGCAUGGCCUCUGCGCAAAGAUGACACACAAAUUCAUGAAAUUUAA